CGGAAGCAUAACUUUCUGGCACACUUGAGAUUUCAUGGUUUCACUCUGCUGGACAAGAAACAUGUGACAGAGACAGAAUAUAUCGAAGACGCUGACCCAGUACAGCACAAAAUGAAGCCUUUUCCUUGCCCAGCAUGUCCAUCCUCAUUCUUAACUUCUUCUUCAUUACGGCGACAUGAACUAGAGAAACAUGAUAAGGCGUUGGAACCCAUAAUCUUGGUAGACCAGGAGAGGGGGUUAUUUGUGACAGCCCAGGACAAGUGUGGACCACGAACUAUUAUUCAUGUAUGCAAGUCCUAUGAUAAUCAAAGCUUUAACUGUGAGGU